CUACGACUCAACAGUUUACUGUCAAAUCCCUCUAUAUCUUUCUUUCCGACUCUGGACUUAGGGACCCAGUUAACCAUCUUAUCUGGCGACUGAAUAUUCCUUUAAAAAUCAAAAUCUUCAUUUGAUUACUGCUCCGGAAAUGAUAACUCACUGCUGACAGAUUGCUAACUCACGGUUUGAGGGUCGAUCAACACUGUGUCUUCUGCGCCUUCAACACGAAAAAUUGCAACAAUCUUUUCUCCAACUGUAUCUUCACUCGUUAUCUCCUACUCACUAUGGAGGGGCAGUUUCCUUCCACUGAUGCUCUAGGGGACGUUCGAGAUCUCUGGACCCUAACUGCCAACACCACCGACGCUGCUCUGAGAUCAAAACGCCUUUGUCGUCUAGCUGGAAUCUGGUGGAUCGUCUGGACGGAAAGAAAUAAUUUCAUUUUCCGUGCAUUACCCCACAAUGUUCUUUGCUUUUCCGAUAGGUUGAGAAUUUUGUUGGCGGAG
rnacentral:lncRNA from 1 species